AGAGUUUGAUCGUGGCUCAGGAUGAACGCUGGCGGCGUGCCUAAUACAUGCAAGUCGAGCGGGAUCCCCUGGAUUCGUCUGGGGGUGAGAGCGGCGGACGGGUGAGUAACACGUAGGCGACCUGCCCCGAAGACAGGGAUAACCAUCGGAAACGGUGGCUAAUACUUGAUGCGCCCGGUAAUUCGUUUUGCCGAGCAAAGCUCCGGCGCUUCGGGCUGGGCCUGCGGCCUAUCAGCUAGUUGGUAGGGUAACGGCCUACCAAGGCUAAGACGGGUAGGGGGCGUGAGAGCGUGAUCCCCCACAAUGGCACUGAGACACGGGCCAUACUCCUACGGGAGGCAGCAGUCAGGGAUAUUGCACAAUGGGCGAAAGCUUGAUGCAGCGACGCCGCGUGGGCGAUGAAGGCCUUCGGGUUGUAAAGCCCUUUUCUGGGGGAAGAGACAAGGACGGUACCCCAGGAAUAAGCGCCGGCUAACUACGUGCCAGCAGCCGCGGUAAAACGUAGGGCGCAAGCGUUAUCCGGAUUCACUGGGCGUAAAGUGCGUUGAGGCGGCUCCGUAAGUUGGACGUUAAAGCCCCCGGCCUAACUGGGGGAGGUCGUUCAAUACUGCGGAGCUUGAGGGCAGCAGAGGCAGGUGGAAUUCCCGGUGUAGUAGUGAUGCGUAGAUAUCGGGAGGAACACCCGUGGCGAAGGCGGCCUGCUGGGCUGCUCCUGACGCUGAAGGCGAAAGCUAGGGGAGCAAACGGGAUUAGAAACCCCGGUAGUCCUAGCUGUAAACGAUGGAUCUAACGCGUUAAGCAUCCCGCCUGGGGACUACGGCCGCAAGGCUAAAACUCAAACGAAUUGACGGGUCCCCGCACAAGCAGCGGAGCGUGUGGUUCAAUUCGAUUUACACGAAGAACCUUACCUGGGUUUGACAUGUGGGUAGUAGUGAAGCGAAAGCGGAACGACCCUUCGGGGAGCCUACACAGGUGCUGCAUGGCUGUCGUCAGCUCGUGCCGUGAGGUGUCGGGUUAAGUCCCGUAACGAGCGCAACCCUCGCCCUUAGUUACAAGUGUCUAGGGGGACUGCCGGCGACAAGCCGGAGGAAGGUGAGGAUGACGUCAAGUCAGCAUGGCCUUUAUAUCCAGGGCUACACACACGCUACAAUGGCCGGUACAAUGGGUUGCCAAGCCGUGAGGCGGAGCCAAUCCCCCAAAGCCGGUCUCAGUUCGGAUUGCAGGCUGCAACUCGCCUGCAUGAAGCUGGAGUUGCUAGUAAUCGCGCGUCAGCAAUAGUGCGGUGAAUACGUUCCCGGGGAUUGUACACACCGCCCGUCACGUCAUGGGAGCUGGCAACACCUGAAGCCGGUGGGCCAACCCGCAAGGGAGGCAGCCGUCGAAGGUGGGGCUGGUGACUGGGACGAAGUCGUAACAAGGUA
rnacentral:rRNA from 1 species